rnacentral:rRNA from 1 species
GCGGACGGGUGAGUACACGUGGGUAACCUGCCUGUAAGACUGGGAUAACUCCGGGAAACCGGGGCUAAUACCGGAUGCUUGAUUGAACCGCAUGGUUCAAUCAUAAAAGGUGGCUUUUAGCUACCACUUACAGAUGGACCCGCGGCGCAUUAGCUAGUUGGUGAGGUAACGGCUCACCAAGGCGACGAUGCGUAGCCGACCUGAGAGGGUGAUCGGCCACACUGGGACUGAGACACGGCCCAGACUCCUACGGGAGGCAGCAGUAGGGAAUCUUCCGCAAUGGACGAAAGUCUGACGGAGCAACGCCGCGUGAGUGAUGAAGGUUUUCGGAUCGUAAAACUCUGUUGUUAGGGAAGAACAAGUACCGUUCGAAUAGGGCGGCACCUUGACGGUACCUAACCAGAAAGCCACGGCUAACUACGUGCCAGCAGCCGCGGUAAUACGUAGGUGGCAAGCGUUGUCCGGAAUUAUUGGGCGUAAAGCGCGCGCAGGCGGUUUCUUAAGUCUGAUGUGAAAGCCCCCGGCUCAACCGGGGAGGGUCAUUGGAAACUGGGGAACUUGAGUGCAGAAGAGGAGAGUGGAAUUCCACGUGUAGCGGUGAAAUGCGUAGAGAUGUGGAGGAACACCAGUGGCGAAGGCGACUCUCUGGUCUGUAACUGACGCUGAGGCGCGAAAGCGUGGGGAGCGAACAGGAUUAGAUACCCUGGUAGUCCACGCCGUAAACGAUGAGUGCUAAGUGUUAGAGGGUUUCCGCCCUUUAGUGCUGCAGCAAACGCAUUAAGCACUCCGCCUGGGGAGUACGGUCGCAAGACUGAAACUCAAAGGAAUUGACGGGGGCCCGCACAAGCGGUGGAGCAUGUGGUUUAAUUCGAAGCAACGCGAAGAACCUUACCAGGUCUUGACAUCCUCUGACAACCCUAGAGAUAGGGCUUCCCCUUCGGGGGCAGAGUGACAGGUGGUGCAUGGUUGUCGUCAGCUCGUGUCGUGAGAUGUUGGGUUAAGUCCCGCAACGAGCGCAACCCUUGAUCUUAGUUGCCAGCAUUCAGUUGGGCACUCUAAGGUGACUGCCGGUGACAAACCGGAGGAAGGUGGGGAUGACGUCAAAUCAUCAUGCCCCUUAUGACCUGGGCUACACACGUGCUACAAUGGGCAGAACAAAGGGCAGCGAAGCCGCGAGGCUAAGCCAAUCCCACAAAUCUGUUCUCAGUUCGGAUCGCAGUCUGCAACUCGACUGCGUGAAGCUGGAAUCGC